GAUGAAGAACGUAGCGAAAUGCGAUAAGUAAUGUGAAUUGCAGAAUUCAGUGAAUCAUCGAAUCUUUGAACGCACAUUGCGCCCGCCAGUAUUCUGGCGGGCAUGCCUGUUCGAGCGUCAUUUCAACCAUCAAGCCCCAGGCUUGUGUUGGGGACCUGCGGCUGCCGCAGGCCCUGAAAACCAGUGGCGGGCUCGCUGUCACACCGGGCGUAGUAGAUUUUAUCUCGCUCAGGGCGUGCUGCGGGUUCCGGCCGUUAAAAAGCCUUUUUUACCCAAGGUUGACCUCGGAUCAGGUAGGAAGACCCGCUGAACUUAAGUAUAUCAAUAAGCGGAGGA
rnacentral:misc_RNA from 1 species